AUCAAUGUGUGUGCAACUAGACUACAUUGCAGGCCAACUGAGCAUAUGUGUGUGUGCAACUAAUCCUGCCAACUAAACUGUGUGUGCAACUAGACUACAUUGCAGGCCAACUGAGCAUAUGUGUGUGCAACUAGUACUGCCAACUAAACAUCAAUGUGUAUCAAACUAGAAUACAUUGCAUGCCAAUUGAGAAUAUGUGUGUGCAACCAGUCCUGCCAGUUAAUCAUCAAUGUGUGUCUAGACUACAUUGCAGGCCAACUGAGCAUAUGUGCGUGCAACUAGUCCUACCAACUAAACAUCAAUGCAUGUGCAACUAGACUACAUUGCAGGCAAACUGAGUAUAUGUGUCUGCAAAAACACCUAGAGUGCAUGAACAUGCUUUUAUGCAAUGCAUUCAACUUCCCUACCGUUUUUGUGCAACUACAUAAUCUAACUAGCCAACUACGUAAUGCUCUCCGUGCAGCUACCCAGAUCUGUCGAGGAAACACAUAGGGCGCACCACCACCUAGAAUCUCGUCAUGUAGUCCCGACGCAACACACGCCGGGACCGAAGCAAGAAACCCAUCCCUAUGCCCCACCUACCCACCACAUCCACCGCGACUAGAACCUUGUCGGAAACCGCAGCUGCAGACGCGAAACGCCAAGAUGUGAAACCACAAAACCCGGACCACCACCCCUGAAUCAUCUCCUUCCCAUUCAUCUUUGAUUUUCCUUGCUACAGCAAAUCAAUACUUUUUGAGAAAAAAAAAGAACUCUGAACUUUCAAAUAGAUAUGCUUCUAAACUCAUCUUUGAGACAACAUUCAGGAUAAAUUGAUGCGGGAUACUGUUAUGUCCCAAUUCGACAAUUCCU
rnacentral:lncRNA from 1 species